UAGCCACCCAUUGACUUAGGAUCUCUGCAU
rnacentral:piRNA from 1 species